CCGCCCUGGACUCUCGUCUUCUUGCGCAGCCUCGCUUAGGCCUGUGAGCCACUCUGCGUUAUCUUGAAGACUUGGUUAUUUAUUUGCGGGAAUAGUAAGGGCUGGGAGUGCAUCUGACUUCUGGUGCCUCCCCAUAUGGUCAGUGUCAAGCCCGUUGUGUCCCUUGGUCGCACAGUGGUGCCUCCCCUCCUUGAGCUUGGUACAUCUGUCCUCCUGAAUCUGUUUAGAUGAACGGUCGAGGGCCUUGGGGGUCUGAAAGGUCUGAGAGGGCCCUGGAGGAAAUGGUGCUAUGUGACCGAGCUGCUGGUGGAAGGUGGGAGCAGAGAGUGAACGUAAGAAGACUAACAGGCUGGUGCGGUGCUUAAAUACAAGAUAGCUGCAUGUGGCUAAUGGCUAGCAAACUGGACAACAAUGUAAAGUAUCUCCUCUUGGCCAAAUUCAACUAUUUCAUCUUCUUAUUCACCCUGCUUGAAGGUACCUAAAGCUUUUAAAACUUGAAUUUCUUAGCCUCCAUGAAGCCACCUUAGUUAUCUUAAUUCUCUUUAUACAUUCUGAUCACUUGUUUUUAGAGUUUUUCACUAGCUUGCCUUCAUCUUUCCACGGUUAAACAGAAGUAGUCCUUCUGGUUUUGUUUGACCCUCUUCUCUUAUUCUAUAGUUUUUCCCCAUCUGCUGCCCCAGAGUUGGAGGGAUUUGUGAAUCAUUCCCUAAUCUUUUAUCUUCAGCCGUGAUUUCCCUUUGGGAGGCAGUUUGGUUUAGUGAAAAUAAUACAGGGUCUGGGGUAUGACCUGAUGCAGAAACUACAGAACAGCACUUGCCUUUGGGGAUUGAUGUAAUAAUUACUUACUAUAAAAUAUCUAAUAAAUGGUUCAUUCCUUUUCUACCUUUCUCGUCUUGAGUUACAGGCAAUAAUUCCAACCACACACUGUCCAUCCUUGCCUCCAAAUACUUAGAAAAAGGUGGAUACAUAAAAAUUUUGUAUGAAAUCCUUUUU